rnacentral:lncRNA from 1 species
CCCAAUAUACCCACCCCACUAAAGUGGUGUAGGGUAUAAACACUGUCCUUUUCAGAUGCAUUGACUCUUUAUCGAACUGCUGGGAAAUUACUCAAAAUUCCCUUUUAGUACUAUUUGGUACCAAACAAAAGUUGUACAAACUCGCUCCACUCUGUCUAUAUAAUCUUGUCGGUCGUAUGCUUGAAGUUCUUGGCCGUUUGGUGUAUAAUUUUUGUUGUUGUUGCUAUAAUUCAUGUUGCUGUUGUUGUUAUAGCUUUUGCAGUGCGUCCGUAAAUGUAUGCGUGUGUGUAUAUCUGACGUUAUUGGUAGCAAUGCACUUUGAUAGUAGAUGUCAUUUCCUCUAACGUUCUUAAACAGUAAACACCAUAUAGCCAUUGAAAAUAACCAGAAAGAAAAUUCAUAAUUAAAAAAAAAAUAAGAAAUAAAAUAAAACAUUUUUAAUUUUCAAACAAAGUGAAUUAUUUAAAACAUAAAAUUGAUAAAAUUUUGAUAAACAACAUACAAUUAAUAAUAAAAGAAAAAUGUAAAAAAGAACUUAAUUAAUUUUACAAGAUAAAAAAAUAAUAACUUAAACAACAACUACAACAAAUAAAAAAACACUAAAAGAGAUCAUUGGACCGCCUGCGUAACACUGUGUUGCAUUGAUAUAUAUAUUUUUCUUUAAUAUUGUUGUUGUUGUCUUUUUAAUCUCCCUUUCAUAUGUACAUGUGAGUGUGUUCAAAAGUGCGUGUAUAUGUCAAUCAAUAUCUCUGUGUAUGUGUACUUUUAAUCCACUGUGUCUGUUAAAUAUCCGCAUAAAAAAUAAAUUUAUAUACAAUUUUAUAAAAAAAAAUAAAAAAAAAAAUCUCGCGAUUUUUUAUUUCUUAUUCGCCUUUUGCAUUCAUUAUUAAUUUCUGCCUACGUUAUAAAUCUUUCAUCAGAAGACAGACAUUCCAGUUGUUCUUGUUGGUGUUUUCUCUUUUCUGCUUGCCAUACUUUUUUUUUUUUUUAAACAUAAGAGCAAAAUUGAAAAAAAAGUAAAAAAUUUUUAUCUUUAUGAAAAAAAAACAACAAAAUAUAAAUUAAUAAAAAAAAUCGCCCAAAAAGGGAAAUAAUUGCAAUUUCUUGUGUAAUAUUUACUUUAAACACUACGGCCUAAUGCUUCAACUUAUUUUCUUGGACAAUAAUUCUUUUCUAUAAUUUCCAUUAUUUAAACUACCGCUUUUUUCACAUUGAAGUGAAAUGAACCGAAAUGUUUCAUCCAAAUGUCGUCUUUUUACCAUAAUUUUUGAAUGCAAAUAUAAACCUAACUACUCAAAUGAUGGCCAUAACCUUUAGCAGUCUUCGGAACCUAAAAUGGAUGCAUAUGAUAAAUGUAUACAGUAUGAGACAAAAAUAUUAGGAAACUAAAUAUUAAAAAAGGGUUGUUUAAAUAAUGUCUAAUAUAAGCCCGAGACACCUUUAGCAUUAAGACACCAAUAACCAACUAAACUAUCAAGCCAUGACUUUCACAACAACAGGUACUUCGAACCGGAACGACUCGGAGUUUAACGAACAAAUACCAACGAUUGUUAUCAACUCAGUCAGCUGCUACAACAACAGCUACAAACUACCUACUCUGAAUGAGUCCAUAUCAAAGGCAACUCACAGAAAUCGGAAAGUAAAGAUAAAAUAUUUAGAAUUCUACAAAGCUUUUAUUCAAAUAUUCUUAUAUAUUUAAACAGAAAACGCCGGAAAGGAAUUGUCAGGAUAAAAUGGAAACAUUUGAUGUAUCAUCAUCUUCCUUGAGGGAUAAUGUUUGAGUUUUAUAAUAAAUUCUUAUUAUUACAAAAAUCGUCAUUAUUUAUUUAUAUUUUACAGCAAAACGUAUUUGACGUAUUAUAUUAUUAUUUGAACGAAUAUUUUUUAAACCACUGUAAAUCAUACAUUAUUAAAAAGAAUUAAUAAAUGUAUACCACAAUACCUCAAAAAAGUAGUACAUAAUCUCCUUUUCACUUAAAAACAUUCCCAAACACUACCGCAGUAUAACAAAUUAAUAACAAUGAUUGUGACGUCACCAACAAAAAAUUGUGCAAAAAUUUCCAACUUAAAAUUUACCCGUAAUCGAUUUCUUAACACCAGGCGCUCAGAAUGUUAGAAAAAAGAGAAGGUACAUUUUAUAGGAAAAAUCUAGUGCAUACUUCAGAGUUGUAAAAAGUAUUUGAAUCAUAGUGUUUUGCUUUUUCAGCUACAGGAUGACUCAAAUAAUUUUCUCAUCCCUAAAGUAUGCUGUAAAUUAUUUCUCAAUAAAAUUACUCUUUAUUGAUUUGUGUGUUUGAUAUUAGGACAUCGAUUACAGGUAAAAUAUCUAGUUGGAAUUUUUGGAAAAAGUAUUUCACAUAAUAAAAACAUAAAUUAUUAAUUUAUAAUAAU